rnacentral:rRNA from 1 species
AUUGAACGCUGGCGGCAGGCCUAACACAUGCAAGUCGAACGAGUGGCGGACGGGUGAGUAAUGUCUGGGAAACUGCCUGAUGGAGGGGGAUAACUACUGGAAACGGUAGCUAAUACCGGAUACAAUCGGAUGUGCCCAGAUGGGAUUAGCUAGUAGGUGGGGUAAAGGCUCACCAAGGCGAUGAUCCCUAGCUGGGAUGAGAGGAUGAUCGGCCACACUGGGACUGAGACACGGUCCAGACUCCUACGGGAGGCAGCAGUUGGGAAUCUUGCACAAUGGUCGCAAGCCUGAUGGAGCCAUGCCGCGUGUAUGAAGAAGGUCUUCGGGUUGUAAAGUACUUUCGUCGGUGAAGCGGUACCCGCCGAAGAAGCCCCGGCUAACUCCGUGCCAGCAGCCGCGGUAAUUC